CUUUUCGGCCGCGGCGCGUGACUGGGCUUGGUGGAGUUUCAAGAUGCUGAUGAACUUAAGGUCUGGCGCUUGAAAGAAUCAGUGAAGCUUUUCAAGUAGAGGAGUACUCUACUUUGAAGAAAGGAAUGGAACAGAAGGUGUCUGCAUAACUAAAUGGGGAUCUAGAGAAAGUGGAGACUGCCUCUGGAGCAGGGAGGAGGUGCCCUACUGUGUAUUGCUGGGGUCGUAUAGCCAAUUGGCGAACUAGCUGAUAAACCCUGGACAGAAAUAGAAACUACAAGAAGUGAAACAAAGUUCCAUCCAAGAAUGAAACAACAACUGAUCACGUGAGAUGCCCAUGUCAUCACUUGACCCACAGACAGGGGAGCAAAUAUAUUGAUGAUCUGGUCCUCCUGCCGGACUGUUGGUAUUCAUCCCUGUAAGUGAGAGGAAGGAAACAUUGCAACUUAAUGGGUGAGUCCUUCCUUCUGGUGAAUUUAACAUCAUGCAUUUGCUAGAUUUGCUAGCCAUGCAGUUAUGGUGAAAACAGGAAAGAUCCCUUUGGGUUUAACUAUAGAUUAGCCAUAGGAUUUGCAACCAGGAAAAGACCUUCAAGAUCAAUUCUAUUGGAACAUGGACAAUUAACAUAAAUAAACUGAGAAACAGACA
rnacentral:lncRNA from 10 species